rnacentral:ncRNA from 1 species
UAUCAUGGGUAGUCUGGCAAAGCAUUGCAUCAUGGGUAGUCUGCAAAGCAAUGUAUCAUGGGUAGUCUGGCUACAACUUGCAUCCUUUAGCGAGGAUCCAUUGGAGGGCAAGUCUGGUGCCAGCAGCCGCGGUAAUUCCAGCUCCAAUAGCGUAUAUUAAAGUUGUGCAGUAAAAAGCUCGA